ensembl:lncRNA
UCGUGGUGGAGAGGUUUGUGUGCCCCUAUGAACCUGAGGGCUGUGUUGUCUGGAGCAUAGUGCUCCUGGUAGGGUCUCCCAAGGAACAGUGGUCUUAGAUGAGGGGUCCGACCAAGAAUGGUUCAUAGUACUUUAACAGCAAGUACAGUUUAGCUGUGAGGAGUUGUGCCCCACAGCCCUAUAUUAUGCACAUUGUAAAGUUCAAUAUGGAGAUUCCAAUCAUCGCAAACCCAAUCCUGCCAGUGGUGGGAGUCCGCAGAAAUCACCUGGCAGCUGGAGGAGCUAGAGUCAGAGAUAGAAACCUUCCAUUGUUCUAUCAAUUCUGAUGUGAGGUACUCAAACUGCAUGCAAAGGAUAUCCUUAUCCCCUAUUUCUUCAUUUUUGACUUUCAUAAAAAAGAGUUUGUUUAAUAAAAGCGUAAAAAUAAACACAAUAGAUCUAAUGCCUGUAGAAAACUCGAGUGAAACAAAUUGAAAUUGUCAGCCUGACAUGUGUUCGCCCUCUGCCUAGUUCCAGAGGCCAAAUCUGAAAUGAAUCCAGGUCUGAAAAUAAACUUCAUGUUUUAUAGAAACACUGGAAAAAGUUACAUGCUUUACAUAAAAUAUACAAUACCUACAUUUAAGAGUUGAUCUGCCCACAUUUAUGCAUUUCAAAACAAACUGAUUGGAGCGGUUGAAUGUAAUAGGUAUGAUCUAUUUUUGUUACCGAUGUUCUUGUUGAGAGUGGGAAUGAGUGAACGGCGGCCUACCAAUUAGGAUGAGUCUUGUUGUAGUGUCUUCAGUAAUUCCACCGCCGACCUCAUAGCCUACGAGGCAUUUGUAUGUCCCUUCGUCUAAGACGGUUAGAUUCCAAAAGGUUACCGUUUUAUUUUCAAGGCUUAAUUUGGUGUGAAGUCUUUUGGGCCCAGUGAGGUUCUUCUUGUUAUGAUAUCCAAUUAUAAAAUCAGUAAAAUCUGGGCCUCCUUGAAGGUAAAUAAACUUGAUGUUCUCCCUAGUUGAGUUGCAUGGAAAUACGACCGUCCCUCCGACCUCUCCAUAAAGAGUAAGGCCAGCACAACCUGAAAGAGAAAGGUUUUAACUUAUAUAGAGAGAAUGUCAAGUCUGAAACUAAUGAUCCAAACUGUAUCUCUCCAUAGCCUCCACAUCACAUUACUGCAACACGCAGACAGAACACCACACCCACGUAACCACGUGUUACCAAACAACUAUCCCUAGUAUGUGUAUAUUUUGCUGCUCAUUUGGCAACGAUUGCUGGAGUCAGAGUUGUUUAUAUAUAUUGUCUUGCUUGUUAGUUUUUGCCAUGAAAAUCCACGCAGACUUUGAGAUGGACCUUGGCCAACCUUUGUAAGGGUAUGACCGGUAUGCUAUGUUAUGUUUGGUAUGAAGGUAUGUAAGAUUUCCUGAUGUCUUUUACCUGCACCUCUAUUAAUCUUGAUGCGUCUGCAAUAAUGCAGAAUGAGGAACUACAGGCUGAAGGGUGUGGUAAAUGUUGCCCUCGGACAAUGCAUUAGAUGUGCCCACAUCAAACCUAUCGGUAUGGUUGCAUACAAAGUCG